rnacentral:rRNA from 1 species
UACGUAGGGGCAAGCGUUAUCCGGAUUUACUGGGUGUAAAGGGAGCGUAGACGGCGGUGCAAGCCAGAUGUGAAAGCCCGGGGCUCAACCCCGGGACUGCAUUUGGAACUGUGCUGCUAGAGUGUCGGAGAGGCAGGCGGAAUUCCUAGUGUAGCGGUGAAAUGCGUAGAUAUUAGGAGGAACACCAGUGGCGAAGGCGGCCUGCUGGACGAUGACUGACGUUGAGGCUCGAAAGCGUGGGGAGCAAACAGG